rnacentral:misc_RNA from 1 species
UGACCAAAUCACCCCUGUGGUGGACUUGGAGUUGGCCAGUACUGGCCUCUCUUAAAACCAGUGGCGGUGCUCUGAAGCUCUACGCGUAGUAAUUUUUCUCGCUAUAGGGUCUUGAUUGUACUUGCCAACAACCCCAAUUGUUUUCAA